rnacentral:rRNA from 1 species
ACGGAAGGCAGCAGGCGCGUAAAUUACCCAAUCCUGAUUCAGGGAGGUAGUGACAAGAAAUAACGGACUGAGGCCUACGCUUCAGGAUUGCAAUGAGUAGAAUUUAAACCCCUUUGCGAGGAUCAAUUGGAGGGCAAGUCUGGUGCCAGCAGCCGCGGUAAUUCCAGCUCCAAUAGCGUAUAUUAAAGUUGUUGCAGUUAAAAAGCUCGUAGUUGGACUUCUGGGAGGGUGCCAAUGUCCGCUUGUUAGCGUGUGCAGCGGCGCCCUUCCAUCCUUCUGUUAACGAUUCUUGGUAUUCACUUACUGGUUUCGGGCUCAGAUAUUUUACCUUGA